CAGGACGAACGCUGGCGGCGUGCCUAAUACAUGCAAGUCGAACGGUCUUUCUAUGGAAGCUUGCUUCCACUGAGAAGAUAGUGGCGAACGGGUGAGUAACACGUGGGUAACCCUGCCCAUAAGAGGGGGAUAACAUCCGGAAACGGGUGCUAAUACCGCAUAGUUUUCUUGAUCGCAUGAUUGAGAAAGGAAAGACGGCCUUUGUGCUGUCGCUUAUGGAUGGACCCGCGGCGUAUUAGUUAGUUGGUGAGGUAACGGCUCACCAAGACGAUGAUACGUAGCCGACCUGAGAGGGUGAUCGGCCACAUUGGGACUGAGACACGGCCCAAACUCCUACGGGAGGCAGCAGUAGGGAAUCUUCCGCAAUGGACGAAAGUCUGACGGAGCAACGCCGCGUGAGUGAAGAAAAGGUUUUCGGAUCGUAAAACUCUGUUGUCAGAGAAGAACAAGUUGGAGAGUAACUGCUCCAGCCUUGACGGUAUCUGACCAGAAAGCCACGGCUAACUACGUGCCAGCCGCCGC
rnacentral:rRNA from 1 species